rnacentral:rRNA from 1 species
UACGUAGGGUGCGAGCGUUGUCCGGAAUUAUUGGGCGUAAAGGGCUCGUAGGCGGUCUGUUGCGUCGGGAGUGAAAACUCAGGGCUUAACCCUGAGCCUGCUUCCGAUACGGGCAGACUAGAGGUAUGCAGGGGAGAACGGAAUUCCUGGUGUAGCGGUGAAAUGCGCAGAUAUCAGGAGGAACACCGGUGGCGAAGGCGACGUGCUGGGUUGCACCUGACGCUGAGAUGCGAAAGUGUGGGGAGCAAACGGG